UGGGGAAUUUUGGACAAUGGGGGAAACCCUGAUCCAGCCAUCCCGCGUGUGCGAUGAAGGCCUUCGGGUUGUAAAGCACUUUUGGCAGGAAAGAAACGUCGCGGGUUAAUACCCCGCGAAACUGACGGUACCUGCAGAAUAAGCACCGGCUAACUACGUGCCAGCAGCCGCGGUAAUACGUAGGGUGCAAGCGUUAAUCGGAAUUACUGGGCGUAAAGCGUGCGCAGGCGGUUCGGAAAGAAAGAUGUGAAAUCCCAGAGCUUAACUUUGGAACUGCAUUUUUAACUACCGGGCUAGAGUGUGUCAGAGGGAGGUGGAAUUCCGCGUGUAGCAGUGAAAUGCGUAGAUAUGCGGAGGAACACCGAUGGCGAAGGCAGCCUCCUGGGAUAACACUGACGCUCAUGCACGAAAGCGUGGGGAGCAAACAGGAUUAGAUACCCUGGUAGUCCACGCCCUAAACGAUGUCAACUAGCUGUUGGGGCCUUCGGGCCUUGGUAGCGCAGCUAACGCGUGAAGUUGACCGCCUGGGGAGUA
rnacentral:rRNA from 1 species